CUAUACAUGCAGUCGAACGAUACUCUUUAGCUUGCUAAGGAGGAAAGUGGCGCACGGGUGCGUAACGCGUAUGCAACCUACCUUAAUCAGGGGGAUAGCCCGAAGAAAUUCGGAUUAACACCGCAUAAAAUCACAGUACAGCAUUGUACAAUGAUCAAAUAUUUAUAGGAUUAAGAUGGGCAUGCGUGACAUUAGUUAGUUGGCGGGGUAACGGCCCACCAAGACCACGAUGUCUAGGGGAUCUGAGAGGAUGACCCCCCACACUGGUACUGAGACACGGACCAGACUCCUACGGGAGGCAGCAGUAAGGAAUAUUGGUCAAUGGAGGCAACUCUGAACCAGCCAUGCCGCGUGCAGGAAGACAGCCCUCUGGGUCGUAAACUGCUUUUAUUCGGGAAUAAACCUAUCUACGUGUAGAUAGCUGAAUGUACCGAAGGAAUAAGGAUCGGCUAACUCCGUGCCAGCAGCCGCGGUAAUACGGAGGAUCCAAGCGUUAUCCGGAUUUAUUGGGUUUAAAGGGUGCGUAGGCGGCUUUUUAAGUCAGGGGUGAAAGACGGUGGCUCAACCAUCGCAGUGCCCUUGAUACUGAAGAGCUUGAAUGAACUAGAGGUAGGCGGAAUGUGACAAGUAGCGGUGAAAUGCAUAGAUAUGUCACAGAACACCGAUUGCGAAGGCAGCUUACUAUGGUUAAAUUGACGCUGAGGCACGAAAGCGUGGGGAUCAAACAGGAUUAGAUACCCUGGUAGUCCACGCCCUAAACGAUGAAUACUCGCUGUUAGCGAUACACAGUUAGCGGCUAAGCGAAAGCGUUAAGUAUUCCACCUGGGGAGUACGGUCGCAAGAUUGAAACUCAAAGGAAUUGACGGGGGCCCGCACAAGCGGAGGAGCAUGUGGUUUAAUUCGAUGAUACGCGAGGAACCUUACCCGGGCUUGAAAGUUAGUGAAUCAUUUAGAGAUAGAUGAGUCCGCAAG
rnacentral:rRNA from 1 species